GAUAGUAACAAGUACCGUGAGGGAAAGUUGAAAAGAACUCUGAAUAGAGAGUUAAAUAGUACGUGAAACUGCUUAGAGGUUAAGCCCGAUGAACCUGAAUAUCCAUUAUGGAAAAUUCAUCAUUAGAGUUUUAAUAUUUUACUAAUAUUAUAAUAAUAGUGUGCAUUUUUUCCAUAUAAGGACAUUGUAAUCUAUUAACAUAAACCAAAUUUAUCAUAAAAUAUGACUUAUAGUUUAUUUAAAUUAUUUUGCUUGCAUUUUAACAUAGAAUAAAUGUCAUUAAUUUGAUAAAGUGUUGAUAGAUUUAUAUGAAUACAGUGCGUUAAUUUUUCGGAAUUAUAUAAUAGCAUGAUUAUCAUUGAUUUUCUGUGUUUAUUAUAUGCACUUGUAUGAUUAACAAUGCGAAAGAUUCAGGAUACCUUCGGGACCCGUCUUGAAACACGGACCAAGGAGUCUAACAUAUGUGCAAGUUAUUGGGAUAUAAACCUAAUAGCAUAAUUAACUUGACUAAUAAUGGGAUUAGUUUUUUAACUAUUUAUAGAUAAUUAACACAAUCCCGGGGCGUUCUAUAUAGUUAUGUAUAAUAAUAUUUAUAUUAUUUAUACCUCUAACUGGAACGUACCUUGAGCAUAUAUGCUGUGACCCGAAAUAUGGUGAACUAUACUUGAUCAGGUUGAAGUCAGGGGAAACCCUGAUGGAAGACCGAAACAGUUCUGACGUGCAAAUCGAUUGUCAGAAUUGAGUAUAGGGGCGAAAGACCAAUCGAACCAUCUAGUAGCUGGUUCCUUCCGAAGUUUCCCUCAGGAUAGCUGGUGCAUUUAAAUGUUAUAUAAAAUAAUAUUAUCUGGUAAAGCGAAUGAUUAGAGGCCUUAGGGUCGAAACGAUCUUUCAAUGGGUAAGAACCUUAACUUUCUUGAUAUGAAGUUUAAGGUUAUGAUAUAUUGUGCCCAGUGGGCCACUUUUGGUAAGCAGAACUGGCGUUGUGGGAUGAACCAAACGUAAUGUUACGGUGCCCAAAUUAACAACUCAUACAGAAACCAUGAAAGGCGUUGGUUGCUUAAAACAGCAGGACGGUGAUCAUGGAAGUCGAAAUCCGCUAAGGAGUGUGUAACAACUCACCUGCCGAAGCAACAAGCCCUUAAAAUGGAUGGCGCUUAAGUUGUAUACCUAUACAUUACCGCUAAAGUAGAUGAUUUAUAUUAUUUAUAAUAUAAAUUUUGAAACUUGGUGUGCUUAGAAGUGUUUGGCGUAAGCCUGCAUGGAGCCGCCAUUGGUACAGAUCUUGGUGGUAGUAGCAAAUAAUCGAAUGAGACCUUGGAGGACUGAAGUGGAGAAGGGUUUCGUGUGAACAGUGGUUGAUCACGAGUUAGUCGGUCCUAAGUUCAAGGCGAAAGCCGAAAAUUUUCAAGUUUUAAAAAUGUCAAAUGAAAUAAUAAAUAAUAAAACACUUGAAUAAUUUUGAACGAAAGGGAAUACGGUUCCAAUUCCGUAACCUGUUGAGUAUCCGUUUGUUAUUAAAUAUGGGCCUCGUGCUCAUCCUGGCAACAGGAACGACCAUAAAGAAGCCGUUGAGAGGUAUCGGAAGAGUUUUCUUUUCUGUUUUAUAGCAGUACUACCAUGGAAGUCUUUCGCAGAGAGAUAUGGUAGAUGGGCUAGAAGAGCAUGACAUAUACUGUUGUGUCGAUAUUUUCUCCUCGGACCUUGAAAAUUUAUGUUGGGGAUACGCAAACUUCUCAACAGGCCGCACCAAUAUCCGCAGCUGGUCUCCAAGGUGAAGAGUCUCUAGUCGAUAGAAUAAUGUAGGUAAGGGAAGUCGGCAAAUUAGAUCCGUAACUUCGGGAUAAGGAUUGGCUCUGAAGAUUGAGAUAGUCGGGCUUGAUUGGGAAACAAUAACAUGGUUUAUGUGCUCGUUCUGGGUAAAUAGAGUUUCUAUCAUUUAUGAUA
rfam:Drosophila willistoni strain TSC#14030-0811.24 scf2_1100000014311 genomic scaffold, whole genome shotgun sequence.